rnacentral:lncRNA from 1 species
CACCUUCAGUGCCCAGGAGGGACAAAUGGUUUUGGUUCAGUGUGCCAUUGAUGGGCGUUCUCCCGUUACAAGAAUUGUCUUCUGCAAGGAUGGGGUGGAAACAUCCAGCCUGAAGGCCAUUCAGGGGCAGCUGACCUACAACAUGAUCAUGAAUGUCUCACUGGGAAGUGCAGGCAAGUACACGUGUGGGUACCAGCUCAAGGAUCAGAGCAACCAAGUGAAGAACUCUGCCCUCAGUGUCCCCCAGGACUUGGAAAUCACAGGUAAGAUGCGAAACCAGAGCAGGGGAAUGUGCUCCAUGAAACAUAAGAGUGAUGGAUGCUGUAUAUAAUCCACAGGUCCACCUCAGCCAUCCUAUUUUUAAUCCCUCACAAAAUCACUUAGACACUGGAUCCAUGGGGGUCCAUGCUGGCAGAGCAGUUGCAGGCACUUUCACUCCUCCCCUGGGGAUGGUGCUGGCUGUUGUUGGAGGGAUGUGCCCAUGGGGCUGUGUGUCCCCUGCCCCACACAGACGUGCUCAGGGCUGUUGUAGGAGAUGAGAUCAAUAUGUGCCUAGUCAGGGAAGGAGGUGGCAGUGAUGCAGAUGCUCAUCCUGUCCAUUUCUCCUGCCAGGCAGUGUGGCCGGCUCCCCUGCAUAAUAACAGCCCCAAGGGAGUGACUCCCUCCUGCAUCCCCAAAGACAAUAACAUGGGGCUCAGGUCUGCCAGGCUGCCGUCCCCAGGGCAUGGGGUCAUGCAGGAACUUCAUCAAGCAGGAGGUCUGCCAGCUGCACGGGCACAUCCUGCUCCCUGCCUCUCCCCAUCACACCCCGCUGCCUUCACACCCUCUGUCCCCCAGCUCCACAUGCCCGGAUUCUGCACACCCUCCCCACAGGCAUGGUGCUGGCAGUGGCGGCCGUCGGCCUCGUCCUCCUGGCUGCAGGCAGCUGGUUUGCCAUCAGGAAAGGCAGCAGCACGUUGACAGCCCACAGACGGAAGACACCAACUAUGGUGACAUCCAGUGUGAGUAAUACCUCCUCCCCUGGGGGAAGCCACAUGCUCCUCUCCCCAUGAGAAUCCUGUGCGAGCCCCCAUGCAAUCCCACCACUUCAUUUCCCACUGGGACAUACAAAAUCCCUGCUCGUUCAAGGGCCAGGUUUCUCUCCAGCACCUCACGUCCUGCUUCUUCCUUGCAUGAACAGUGCGUGCGGGCUGCUGGCUGUACAAGGGACAUGGCAGCAUCCCAGUGCUCCCAGGGACAAAGCCCAUUUGCCUGGGGGGUCCUUUCACAGCUGCUGCAGCCCCAGGCUUCAAUUCCCCUGCUAGGCCUCUGCUUUUGUCCUUUCUUCACUUCUUCUACAAAGCGAUUUCUGUUUUCAUGCAGUUGAAAGUACACAGCAACAAUGAAAGAUGUGGCUCUCUUUCCUUGCGUUUGUGGGGAAAGCCUGUUAUAGUUUGCUUUGAAACCACAGGCAGCAGGCAAGGGAGGAUGUUGAAGCUGGGUCACAGGUAUAGAUAUAUCCCUACCCUACUUGCACCUCACUCGAGUUGCAGCACGACCUUGUUUACCCACGCUUGCACAAAGCAGCUCACAAGGUGUGCUGGCUGUGCAAAGAGAGGAGAUGCCACAGAAAGCUGGAAAUACACCAAAACCUCAGCAUCUCUUCUCCACUGCUGCUUAAUGCUCAUCCCAGAGUAGGAUGAUAGGAGGGGCAAUGUGGUCAGGUGUUGAGAGCUGACCACAGGCAGCUGCUGCCCAAGGUCAGUGUGAGUUUCAGCUCUCCACCAACAGGCAGCAAGGACUCAUCGAAUGUUUUUUCCCACAGACUCCACCAUCGCCCAUGUUCGACGGGACAGGGUGAGUCAUGGCACAGCUGUGCACACCUCCUUUCUGCACUCCUGCAGCCUGGUGCACGCUCAUUGUGCAGGGCUCACAGUCAGCAGCUGAAGUAACAGGGUUUCUUUUCUCCCUAAAGCCUCGU